rnacentral:rRNA from 1 species
AUAUCAAUAAGCGGAGGAAAAGAAACUAACAAGGAUUCCCCUAGUAACUGCGAGUGAAGCGGGAAAAGCUCAAAUUUAAAAUCUGGUGGCCUUUGGUCGCUCGAGUUGUAAUUUAGAGAAGCGUCUUCCGCGCUGGACCGUGCACAAGUCUCCUGGAAUGGAGCGUCAUAGAGGGUGAGAAUCCCGUCUUUGGCACGGAUGCACCAGGGCUUUCGUGAUGCGCUCUCAAAGAGUCGAGUUGUUUGGGAAUGCAGCUCAAAAUGGGUGGUGAACUCCAUCUAAAGCUAAAUAUUGGCGAGAGACCGAUAGCGAACAAGUACCGUGAGGGAAAGAUGAAAAGCACUUUGGAAAGAGAGUGAAACAGUACGUGAAAUUGUUGAAAGGGAAACACUUAAAGUCAGUCGCGUCGACCGAGACUCAGCCUUGCUUUGGCUUUGGUGUGCUUCUCGGCCGACGGGUCAGCAUCAAUUUUGCCCCUCGGAUAAUGGCAAGGGAAAGGUAGCACCUUUACGGGUGUGUUAUAGUCUCCUGUCGCAUGCGAGGGUCAGGAUUGAGGAACUCAGCACGCGCCUCUCGGUGUCGGGGCUUCGGCCCACGCUACGUGCUUAGGAUGCUGGCGUAAUGGCUUUAAAUGACCCGUCUUGAAACACGGACCAAGGAGUCUAACAUGCCCGCGAGUGUUCGGGUGGAAAACCCGUGCGCGUAAUGAAAGUGAAAGUUGGGACCCCUGUCGUGGGGGGCACCGACGCCCGGACCAGACCUUCUGUGACGGAUCUGCGGUAGAGCGUGCAUGUUGGGACCCGAAAGAUGGUGAACUAUGCCUGAAUAGGGUGAAGCCAGAGGAAACUCUGGUGGAGGCUCGUAGCGAUUCUGACGUGCAAAUCGAUCGUCAAAUUUGGGUAUAGGGGCGAAAGACUAAUCGAACCAUCUAGUAGCUGG